UGGAGGUGACUUCACAGGUGGGGGAGGAGAGUGGUAGUAGUAUGGAGGUGGUGGGGAUGGUGAUGGAGGUGGUGGGGAUUUGUAGUAGUACGGUGGUGGAGGCGAGUAGACUGGUGGGGGAGGAGAGUGGUAAUAGUACGGAGGUUGAGGAGAUGGUGACGGAGGUGGUGGGGACUUGUAAUAGUAUGGUGGUGGAGGUGAGUGGACAGGUGGGGGAGGAGAGUGGUAAUAAUAUGGCGGUGGAGGAGAUGGCGACGGAGGUGGUGGGGAUUUGUAGUAGUAGGGCGGGGGAGGAGAGUGGACUGGUGGUGGUGGGGAUUUGUAGUAGUAUGGAGGUGGAGGUGGAGGUGAGUAGACUGGUGGUGGUGGGGAUUUGUAGUAGUAUGGAGGUGGAGGUGAGUGGACUGGUGGUGGCGGGGAUUUGUAGUAGUAGGGUGGAGGAGGAGAGUGGACUGGAGGUGGCGGGGAUUUGUAGUAGUAUGGUGGUGGAGGCGAGUAGACUGGAGGGGGUGGUGACUUGUAGUAGUAAGGUGGCGGAGGUGAGUAAACGGGAGGAGGGGGUGACUUGUAGUAGUAAGGUGGUGGAGGUGAGUAGACUGGUGGUGGAGGUGAUUUGUAAUAGUAUGGGGCAGGUAUGUGGACUGGCGGUGGUGGUGACUUGUAAUAGUAGGGAGGUGGAGGGGAUGGUGAAGGUGGUGGUGGAGACUUGUAGUAGUAUGGCGGUGGGGGUGAAUAGACUGGUGGUGGAGGUGAUUUAUAAUAGUAUGGAGGUGGAGGAGAUGGCGAUGGAGGUGGCGGAGAUUUAUAGUAGUAAGGUGGUGGAGGAGAGUGGACUGGUGGUGGAGGUGAUUUGUAAUAGUAUGGCGGUGGAGGAGAGUAGACUGGUGGUGGAGGUGAUUUAUAGUAGUAUGGCGGUGGUGGUGAGUGGACAGGUGGUGGAGGUGACUUGUAGUAAUACGGUGGAGGAGAAGAAUAGACCGGUGGUGGUGGAGAUUUAUAAUAGUAAGGUGGUGUCGGAUACUUUAUUGGAGGUGGAGGGGAUUUGUAAUAAUAGGGUGGUGGUGGUGAGGGUGAAGGAGGUGGUGGAGAUUUAUAGUAAUAUGGUGGUGGAGGUGAGUGGACUGGAGGUGGUGGAGAUUUGUAGUAGUAUGGUGGAGGUGAGUAGACAGGUGGGGGAGGAGACUUGUAAUAAUAUGGUGGUGGAGGUGAGUAGACCGGUGGUGGUGGGGAUUUAUAGUAGUAUGGUGGUGGUGAAUAAACCGGUGGUGGAGGAGACUUGUAGUAGUACGGUGGGGGAUGUGAAUAGACUGGUGGAGGUGGAGACUUAUAAUAGUAUGGGGGAGGAGAGUAAGUUGGUGGCGGUGGAGACUUAUAGUAAUAUGGUGAUGGAGAUGGUGGUGGCGGAGACUUAUAGUAAUAAGGCGACGGUGGGUAUUUUACAGGAGGUGGGGGAGAUUUAUAAUAAUAAGGUGGUGGGUAUUUCACAGGAGGUGGUGGAGACUUGUAAUAAUAUGGUGGAGGUGGAGGAGACUUAUAAAUGUAAGUUGGUGGUGGUGGAGGCGGUGACUUGUAGUAAUAAGGAGCGGGGGUAGGCUCAGGCUUGGGCUUCUCACAUUCCUCAUAAGGAGUCUUAGGAGCAUAAGCAAAUGGCUUGGCGUAGAGCACAACUUCAUAAUCAGUCUUCGACUUGACUUUAAGUUUGGCUCCCUUUUUACCCCAGUGCAAGUCAGUGGGAAUGUUGCAUGGUGAACCCUUUGGUGCCAUAUGGAGCUUGGCCUUGCAUGCUUUAGCUCCAUAUUUGCCGUAAUCAAAACCUUCGACUGUGAUGCUGUAUUUGCCGUUGAUCUUCGUCUUUCCAUAUGCCUUGAUUUUCUUGUCACCAACAUCGCAUGUCACUUCAACUACAGCACCUGUUACAUGAAUGUGUCAAUUUUGUCAGCAUCAUUUGUUGCACAAGUCUAGUUACUAGGGCAUUCUAAUUAGUCACUCCCCCACCAACUACAAUAACUAAAUUUGUCCUAUCUCGUUAAUAUAUUGCAAAAAUUAUUUAUAUAUGAUUCUAUGUUAACACAAUUUGCCAAAUUUUAAAAUAAUUGAGGAAGCAUCAGCCACUAACAAUUUACACCCUGUUCUAUUCUGUACAGUAAAUACGCUUAUAUCCUCUCUGUUUCGCGAUUCACAAAUUAACCCAUCAAUUUAAUACAGACACGUGUAAAUAAAAUCAAUUUAAUUCUCUAAGACAUGAUCCAAUAAUAUCAUUUUUCAAAAUAGCAUUAGGUCAAAAUUGUAAUAAUAACCACAUUACUUGUAGUCAACACUACACCAUCCCCAAAGCAAUAAUAGCGACAUGAUAAUCCAAUGGCCAAAAUAGCCAAAUUUUACAUAUUUUAUUCUCUUUGAACCGAUUGGUUCUUUUUUUCUUUUAAAUGCUAAUUAAAAGUCAUUGAAUUAAAAUCAAGAAAACGAACCAUGUAAAAGCUUGUUGACAUGUACUCUUAAUUUAGGGGAAAAUUAAUGAGCAAUAAUUGAUAUUAAAAAUUAAUUAAUGUUCCAAGAAAACAAAUGUACCUUUAAGAUGUUUCUUGUCAUGUGACUUCUCCGGAUACUCCCAGUCGUAACAUCUGAAACAGUAUACUUUUCCAACAACCUUCACCACAAAAGUGUGGGGAUGUGGAUGAGGGUAUGGGGCAGGUGGUGGCGGAGAAUGGUAGUAGUACGGCGGUGAGACGUAAUGCGUAGGUGGUGGAGGAGACUUAUAGUAGUAAGGAGGUGGUGGAUACUUAACUGGGGGAGGUGGAGAUUUGUAAUAGUAUGGAGGAUGUGGUAAAGGAGAUGGUGGUGGCGGAGACUUGUAAUAGUAUGGUGGUGGAGGAUACGGUGAUGGUGGUGGUGGAGAUUUAUAGUAGUAGGGUGGUGGAGGAUAUUUCACGGGAGGUGGUGGAGACUUGUAGUAGUAAGGUGGUGGUGGAGAUUUCUCGGGCGGGGGUGGAGACUUGUAGUAGUAAGGUGGGGGUAGAUGUUUUUCGGGUGGUGGGGGAGACUUGUAGUAGUAAGGUGGGGGUGGAGAUUUUUCAGGUGGUGGGGGAGACUUGUAGUAGUACGGUGGUGGUGGAGAUUUCUCGGGUGGUGGAGGAGACUUGUAGUAGUAAGGUGGAGGUGGUGAAGGAGAUGGUGGUGGGGGAGACUUGUAGUAGUAAUGUGGGGAUGGAUAUUUUUCAGGUGGCGGGGGGGACUUGUAGUAGUAUGGUGGAGGUGGAGACUUUUCGGGCGGUGGAGGAGACUUGUAGUAGUAUGGUAUGGUGGAGGUGGAGACUUUUCGGGUGGUGGGGGAGACUUGUAGUAGUAAGGUGGGGGUGGUGGUGAUUUCUCAGGCGGUGGAGGAGACUCAUAGUAGUAAGGCGGAGGUGGAGACUUUUCGGGCGGUGGAGGAGACUUGUAAUAAUAAGGUGGUGGUGGAGAUUUUUCGGGUGGGGGAGGUGACUUGUACUCAUAAGGUGGUGGAGGAUAUUUUUCGGGUGGUGGAGGUGACUUGUACUCGUAAGGUGGUGGCGGAGAUUUUUCGGGUGGUGGAGGUGACUUGUACUCAUAAGGUGGAGAUUUUUCAGGUGGUGGUGGUGACUUAUACUCAUAAGGUGGAGAUUUUUCAGGUGGUGGUGGUGAUUUAUAUUCAUAAGGUGGGGGUGGUGGAGAAGCAUAAGAGUAGGCAUCAGCAGAUACUGAAACUACAUUACUUGAAACAACAACUAUAAUGGCCAGCAAUGCCACUACAAAAUGGGGCCAAAACUGACCCGGAGGCGGGUUUCCGCCCGGAAUCGCCAUGAUUACCGGAACAAUGACC
rnacentral:lncRNA from 1 species